UGGGGGGCUAACCAUGCAAGUCGAGCGGGAUGACGGGAGCUUGCUCCUUGAUUCAGCGGCGGACGGGUGAGUAAUGCCUAGGAAUCUGCCUGGUAGUGGGGGACAACGUUUCGAAAGGAACGCUAAUACCGCAUACGUCCUACGGGAGAAAGCAGGGGACCUUCGGGCCUUGCGCUAUCAGAUGAGCCUAGGUCGGAUUAGCUAGUUGGUGGGGUAAUGGCUCACCAAGGCGACGAUCCGUAACUGGUCUGAGAGGAUGAUCAGUCACACUGGAACUGAGACACGGUCCAGACUCCUACGGGAGGCAGCAGUGGGGAAUAUUGGACAAUGGGCGAAAGCCUGAUCCAGCCAUGCCGCGUGUGUGAAGAAGGUCUUCGGAUUGUAAAGCACUUUAAGUUGGGAGGAAGGGCAGUAAGCGAAUACCUUGCUGUUUUGACGUUACCGACAGAAUAAGCACCGGCUAACUCUGUGCCAGCAGC
rnacentral:rRNA from 1 species